rnacentral:lncRNA from 1 species
AUUCUGAAGUCGCCCAAACAAUAAAAUGCAAAAUGGCUCCAUAGCGCCCCCUAAGGUGAAAAAUUCACAUGAUUGAGUGUCACGCCUGUACGCUUUGUCAAAAUGACACAAAAUUUGACACACACGUGUAUCUCAAUAAGAUCUACAAAAAAGUCAGUGCGGGCGUAUCUGUCAAAUGUACGGUUAAAGGUUUAUUUCGCAUUUUUUGCCGAUCCGCAUACAUUGGAAUUUCGCUAACUCCUCCGAAGGUUUUCGUUCCACCGGCACCACAUUUGCUCAGGCCAAUCUACACCCCAUGGCCAAUAAAAGUUGUACAAAUCAUGACGCUGCACCCCACGGUUUACGUUCUAGGGGGCGCCAAAGAUAACCCAAAAAUCCACAGUCUUAAAAGUCUUAUAACUUUUUAUUUUUGUCCUCACUGGCCUCCAAGUUCUCUAGGAUGAUGCAAUGUCCAGCCAUCAACACAUUUGUGAAGGAAUUUUUACUCGCCAAAAGAGCGCCCCCCCAUGGCAGGAGAAAAAUGUCAAUUUUUUCUUGUCUCCUAAGGCGAAAAUACACAUCGUUGACUGUCACGCCUUUACGCUUUGUCAAAAUGACACAAAAUUUGACACACACAUGUAUCUCAAUAAGAUCUACAAAAAAGUCAGUGCGGGCGUAUCUGUCAAAUGUACGGUUAAAGGGUUAUUUCGCAUUUUUUGCCGAUCCGCACACAUUGGAAUUUCGCUAACUCCUCCGAAGGCUUUCGUUCCAACGGCACCACAUUUGCUCAGGCCAAUCUACACCCCAUGGCCAUUAAAAGUUGUACAAAUCAUGACGCUGCACCCCACGGUUUACGUUCUAGGGGGCGCCAAAGAUAACCCAAAAAUCCACAGUCUUAAAAGUCUUAUAACUUUUUAUUUUUGUCCUCACUGGCCUCCAAGUUCUCUAGGAUGAUGCAAUGUCCAGCCAUCAACACAUUUGUGAAGGAAUUUUUACUCGCCAAAAGAGCGCCCCCCAUGGCAGGAGAAAAAAGUCCAUUUUUUCUUGUCUCCUAAGGCGAAAAUACACAUUGUUGACUGUCACGCCUUUACGCUUUGUCAAAAUGACACAAAAUUUGACACACACAUGUAUCUCAAUAAGAUCUACGAAAAAGUCAAUGCGAGCGUAUCUGUUCAAUGUACGGUUAAAGGGCUAUUUCGCAUUUUUUGCCGAUUCGCACACAUUGGAAUGUGGCUAACUCCUCCUAAAGCUUUUGUCCCAUCGGCUUCAAAUUUGCUCAGGUCAAUCUACACCCCAUGGCCAUUCAAAGUUGUACAAAUCAUGACGCUGCACCCCACGGUUUACGUUCUAGGGGGUGCCAAAGAGGACCCAAAUAUCCACAUUUUUAAAAGUCUUAUAACUUUUUAUUUUUGUCCUCACUGGCCUCCAAGUUUUCUAGGAUGAUGCAAUGUCCAGCCAUCAACACAUUUGUGAAGGAAUUUUUUCUCCCCAAAAGAGCGCCCCCCCAUGGCAGGAGAAAAAGUCAAGUUUUUCCUGCCCAUCGCUCAAUGGCUCAAAAGCAUCGCUCUCUCGGCAAAACCGAAAGGAGGAGCAACUUGCCAUUUGGAUAUAUACUAGCUGUGUUUGUGCCCUCACUCAUGGUCCAGACUUUUUUCAAAAAGGACAUGGAGUUUGUCUGCAGCGAGCGUUUUGGUAGAAACUGCGCCUCCCAUUCAUUAUAAUGGUAAAUGACCACAGACAAGUGCGCACACCAUCUUUGGACCUUGAGUGUGACGCGAUCAAGAGGGGUAGGCGGUCGCGCUGGGGGCGGCGCGACACGGCUCGGGCCCGCCAGUGCCCCAACGGGGCCCUAGUUUGUUAUUAUUAUUAUUUUUCCUCCGCUUUAAACUGGAAAAUGGCCGACUUCCCACUGGCGAAAACUCAUGAAAUUUGGCAGGACGACCGGGCCUGGUGAAAAAUUCGAUAUUCUGAAGUCGCCCAAACAAUAAAAUGCAAAAUGGCUCCAUAGCGCCCCCUAAGGCGAAAAUUCACACUAUUGACUGUCACGCCUGUACGCUUUGUCAUAUUGACACAAAAAUUGACACACACGUGUAUCUCAAUACGUUCUACGAAAAAGUCAGCGCGGGCGCAUCUGUGAAAUGUACAGUUAGAGGGUUAUUUCGCAUUUUUUGCCGAUCUGCACACAUUGGAAUUUCGCUAACUCCUCCGAAGGCAUUCGUUCCACCGGCACCACAUUUGCUCAGGCCAAUCUACACCCCAUGGCCAUUAAAAGUUGUACAAAUCAUUACGCUGCACCCCACAGUUUACGUUCUAGGGGGCGCCAAAGAUAACCCAAAAAUCCACAUAUUUAAAAGUCUUAUAACUUUUUAUUUUUGUCCUCACUGGCCUCCAAGUUUUCUAGGAUGAUGCAAUGUCCAGCCAUCAACACAUUUGUGAAGGAAUUUUUACUCCCCAAAAGAGCGCCCCCACAUGGCAGGAGAAAAAAGUCCAUUUUUUCUUGUCCCCUAAGGUGAAAAUACACAUUGUUGAGUGUCACGCCUAUACGCUUUGUCAUAUUGACCCAAAAUUUGACAAUCACGUGUAUCUCAAUAAGAUCUACGAAAAAGUCAAUGGGCACGUAUCUGUAAAAUGUAUGGUUAAAGGGCUAUUUCGCAUUUUUUGCAGAUUCGCACACAUUGGAAUGUGGCUAACUCCUCCUAAGGCUUUCUUCCCACCGACACCAAAUUUGCUCAAGCCGAUCUACAUCCCAUGGCCAUUCAAAGUUGUAAAAAUCAUGCCGCUGCACCCCAUGGUUUACGUUCUAGGGGGCGCCAAAGAUGACCCAAAUAUCCACAUUCUUAAAAGUCGUUUUGGCCACUGCAGGAGUACAGAGUACUGCAGGAUACACACACACAGACACACACAAACACAGACACACACACACACACACACACACACACACACACACACACACACACACACACACACACACACACACACACUCAGAGUCUGUUUUUUAGCACCUGCAAAAACAUGCUAUUUACAUAUUUGACAACAAUGCAGAGGCUCCUUUUGCCCCUGAAAAAAAUCAAAUUUCAAACACAACUUGACUGGUCAUUUCUCCAAAAGACAACCAUGAAGCUCCAUCCAAACCUGAAGCAGGCAGUUGGUGCAUGUGUACAGUUACCUGAGGGGAGUGAGGUGAGUGCUUCUGAGGAGAACAUGAGCAGUGAAGAUUCACCUUGGAGCGAGAACAGGGACGUGCACAUGAUUAUACAGGGGCAGGGGCUCAAGUUUUUUCCAGUCGUUUAUACAAUAUGGAAAUUAAUGUGAAAUUAAAAAACAAAGUAUUAAUAGAAAGGUAAUGACUGUCCUGUGUAGGUGACAGUGAUAUCCAAUAGGCUAGGCACUCACGAGGCUGGCUGUGGCAAGUGUAAGUGAAAGCAACACGCACUGGCAGGAAGAGCAGCAAACGCCGAUGAAGGAAAAGGGUCUUUGCAGUGAUGGGCGUUACCAGAGAGGACGAUGGCCAGAGGACGCGAAUGGGACGGGGAGGAAGCGCAUUGGUGGGGGGGGGGGGGGCGCGACACAGCUCGGGCCCACCAGUGCCCCAACGGGGCCCUAGUCUUCUUCUUCUUCUUCUUAUUAGGGCCCGAGCCAGCUGCAGAGCAGCCGGGCGUAGAGCCCUAUUAUUCCUGUAUAGGUUUUUCUUUCUUCUUUCUUUCUUUCUUUCUUUCUUUCUUCUUAUUUUUCCUCCCCUUUGAAGGGGAAAAUGGCCCACUUCCCACUGGCGAAAACUCAGGAAAUUUGGCAGGACGACCGGGCCUGGUGAAAAAUUCGAUAUUCUGAAGUCGCCCAAACAAUAAAAUGCAAAAUGGCUCCAUAGCGCCCCCUAAGGCGAAAAUUCACACUAUUGACUGUCACGCCUGUACGCUUUGUCAUUUUGACACAAAAAUUGACACACACGUGUAUCUCAAUACGGUCUACGAAAAAGUCAGUGCGGGCGCAUCUGUGAAAUGUACGGUUAGAGGGUUAUUUCGCAUUUUUUCCCGAUCCGCACACAUUGGAAUUUCGCUAACUCCUCCGAAGGCUUUAGUUCCACCGCCACCAAAUUUGCUCAGGCCAAUCUACACCCCAUGGCCAUUAAAAGUUGUACAAAUCAUGACGCUGCACUCCACGGUUUACGUUCUAGGGGGCGCCAAAGAUAACCCAAAAAUCCACAUUCUUAAUAGUCUUAUAACUUUUUAUUUUUGUCCUCACUGGCCUCCAAGUUUUCUAGGAUGAUGCAAUGUCCAGCCAUCAACACAUUUGUAAAGGAAUUUUUACUCCCGAAAAGGGCGCCCCCCAUGGCAGGAGAAAAAAGUCAAUUUUUUCUUGUCCCCUAAGGUGAAAAAACACAUUGUUGACUGUCACGCCUAUACGCUUUGUCAAAAUGACACAAAAUUUGACACACACGUGUAUCUCAAUAAGAUCUACGAAAAAGUCAAUGGGCACGUAUCUGUAAAAUGUACGGUUAAAGGGCUAUUUCGCAUUUUUUGCCGAUUCGCACACAUUGGAAUGUGGCUAACUCCUCCUAAGGCUUUCUUCCCACCGACACCAAAUUUGCUCAAGCCGAUCUACAUCCCAUGGCCAUUCAAAGUUGUAAAAAUCAUGCCGCUGCACCCCAUGGUUUACGUUCUAGGGGGCGCCAAAGAUGACCCAAAUAUCCACAUUCUUAAAAGAAUCCACAUCCCCCCCCCCCCCAAGGCAGGAGAAAAAGUCCAGUUAACCCUGCCCAUCGCUCAAUGGCUCAAUCGCAUCGCUCUCCCGGCAACACCGUAAGGAGGAGCAACUUGCCAUUUGGAUAUAUCCUAGCUGUGUUUGUGCCCUCACUCAUGGUCCAGACUUUUUUCAAAUAGGACAUGUAGUUUGUCUGCAGCGGCCGUUUUGGUAGAAACUGCGCCUCCCAUUCAUUAUAAUGGGAAAUGACCACAGACAAGUGCGCACACCAUCUUUGGACCUUGAGUGUGAUGCAAUCGGGAGGGGGAGGCGGUCGCGCUGGGGGCGGCGCGACGCGGCUCGGGCCCGACAGUGCCCCACCGGGGCCCUAGUUUGUUAUUAUUAUUAUUAUUUUUCCUCCGCUUUAAACUGGAAAAUGGCCCACUUCCCACUGGCGAAAACUCAUGAAAUUUGGCAGGACGACCGGGCCUGGUGAAAAAUUCGAUAUUCUGAAGUCGCCCAAACAAUAAAAUGCAAAAUGGCUCCAUAGCGCCCCCUAAGGCGAAAAUUCACACUAUUGACUGUCACGCCUGUACGCUUUGUCAUAUUGACACAAAAAUUGACACACACGUGUAUCUCAAUACGUUCUACGAAAAAGUCAGCGCGGGCGCAUCUGUGAAAUGUACAGUUAGAGGGUUAUUUCGCAUUUUUUGCCGAUCUGCACACAUUGGAAUUUCGCUAACUCCUCCGAAGGCAUUCGUUCCACCGGCACCACAUUUGCUCAGGCCAAUCUACACCCCAUGGCCAUUAAAAGUUGUACAAAUCAUGACACUGCACCCCACAGUUUACGUUCUAGGGGGCGCCAAAGAUAACCCAAAAAUCCACAGUCUUAAAAGUCUUAUAACUUUUUAUUUUUGUCCUCACUGGCCUCCAAGUUCUCUAGGAUGAUGCAAUGUCCAGCCAUCAACACAUUUGUGAAGGAAUUUUUACUCCCCAAAAGAGCGCCCCCACAUGGCAGGAGAAAAAAGUCAAUUUUUUCUUGUCCCCUAAGGUGAAAAUACACAUUGUUGAGUGUCACGCCUAUACGCUUUGUCAUAUUGACCCAAAAUUUGACAAUCACGUGUAUCUCAAUAAGAUCUACGAAAAAGUCAAUGGGCACGUAUCUGUAAAAUGUACGGUUAAAGGGCUAUUUCGCAUUUUUUGCAGAUUCGCACACAUUGGAAUGUGGCUAACUCCUCCUAAGGCUUUCUUCCCACCGACACCAAAUUUGCUCAAGCCGAUCUACAUCCCAUGGCCAUUCAAAGUUGUAAAAAUCAUGCCGCUGCACCCCAUGGUUUACGUUCUAGGGGGCGCCAAAGAUGACCCAAAUAUCCACAUUCUUAAAAGUCGUUUUGGCCACUGCAGGAGUACAGAGUACUGCAGGAUACACACACACAGACACACACAAACACAGACACACACACACACGCACACACACACACACACACACACACACACACACACACACACACACUCAGAGUCUGUUUUUUAGCACCUGCAAAAACAUGCUAUUUACAUAUUUGACAACAAUGCAGAGGCUCCUUUUGCCCCUGAAAAAAAUCAAAUUUCAAACACAACUUGACUGGUCAUUUCUCCAAAAGACAACCAUGAAGCUCCAUCCAAACCUGAAGCAGGCAGUUGGUGCAUGUGUACAGUUACCUGAGGGGAGUGAGGUGAGUGCUUCUGAGGAGAACAUGAGCAGUGAAGAUUCACCUUGGAGCGAGAACAGGGACGUGCACAUGAUUAUACAGGGGCAGGGGCUCAAGUUUUUUCCAGUCGUUUAUACAAUAUGGAAAUUAAUGUGAAAUUAAAAAACAAAGUAUUAAUAGAAAGGUAAUGACUGUCCUGUGUAGGUGACAGUGAUAUCCAAUAGGCUAGGCACUCACGAGGCUGGCUGUGGCAAGUGUAAGUGAAAGCAACACGCACUGGCAGGAAGAGCAGCAAACGCCGAUGAAGGAAAAGGGUCUUUGCAGUGAUGGGCGUUACCAGAGAGGACGAUGGCCAGAGGACGCGAAUGGGACGGGGAGGCAGCGCAUUGGUGGGGGGGGGGGGGGGGCGCGACACAGCUCGGGCCCGCCAGUGCCCCAACGGGGCCCUAGUUAUUAUUUUUCCUCCCCUUUGAACUGGAAAAUGGCCCACUUCCCACUGGCGAAAACUCAUGAAAUUUGGCAGGACGACCGGGCCUGGUGAAAAAUUUGAUAUUCCGAAGUCGCCCAAACAAGAAAAUGCAAAAUGGCUCCAUAGCGCCCCCUAAGGUGAAAAUUCACACUAUUCACUGUCACGCCUGUACGCUUUGUCAAAAUGACACAAAAAUUGACACACACAUGUAUCUCAAUAAGAUCUACAAAAAAGUCAGUGCGGGCGUAUCUGUCAAAUGUACGGUUAAAGGGUUAUUUCGCAUUUUUUGCCGAUCCGCACACAUUGGAAUUUCGCUAACUCCUCCGAAGGCUUUCGUUCCACCGGCACCACAUUUGCUCAGGCCAAUCUACACCCCAUGGCCAUUAAAAGUUAUUCAAAUCAUGACGCUGCACCCCACGGUUUAGGUUCUAGGGGGCGCCAAAGAUAACCCUAAGAUCCACAUAUUUAAAAGUCUUAUAACUUUUUAUUUUUGCCCUCACUGGCCUCCAAGUUUUCUAGGAUGAUGCAAUGUCCAGCCAUCAACACAUUUGUGAAGGAAUUUUUACUCCCCAAAAGAGCGCCCCCCCAUGGCAGGAGAAAAAAGUCCAUUUUUUCUUGUCCCCUAAGGUGAAAAUACACAUUGUUGAGUGUAACACCUGUACGCUUUGGCAAAAUGACACAAAAAUUGACACACACAUGUAUCUCAAUAAGAUCUACGAAAAAGUCAAUGCGCGCGUAUCUGUCAAAUGUACGGUUAAAGGGUUAUUCCGCAUUUUUUGCCGAUUCGCACACAUUGGAAUUUCGCUAACUCCUCCGAAGGCUUUCGUUCCACCGGCACCACAUUUGCUCAGGCCAAUCUACACCCCAUGGCCAUUAAAAGUUAUUCAAAUCAUGACGCUGCACCCCACGGUUUACGUUCUAGGGGGCGCCAAAGAUAACCCUAAAAUCCACAUAUUUAAAAGUCUUAUAACUUUUUAUUUUUGUCCCCACUGGCCUCCAAGUUUUCUAGGAUGAUGCAAUGUCCAGCCAUCAACACAUUUGUGAAGGAAUUUUUACUCGGCAAAAGAGCGCCCCCCCAUGGCAGGAGAAAAAAGUCAAUUUUUUCUUGUCCACUAAGGUGAAAAUACACAUUGUUGAGUGCUACGCCUGUAUGUUUUGUCGUAUUGACACAAAAUUUUAAAUACACGUGUAUUUCAAUAAGAUCUUCGAAAAAGUCAAUGGCCACGUAUCUGUAAAAUGUACAGUUAAAGGGUUAUUUCGCAUUUUUUGCAGAUUCGCACACAUUGGAAUUUCGCUAAUUCCUCCGAAGGCUUUCGUUCCACCGGCACCACAUUUGCUCAGGCCAAUCUACACCCCAUGGCCAUUAAAAGUUAUUCAAAUCAUGACGCUGCACCCCACGGUUUAGGUUCUAGGGGGCGCCAAAUAUAACCCUAAAAUCCACAUAUUUAAAAGUCUUAUAACUUUUUAUUUUUGUCCUCACUGGCCUCCAUGUUUUCUAGGAUGAUGCAAUGUCCAGCCAUCAACACAUUUGUGAAGGAGUUUUUUCUCUUUAAAAGAGCGCCCCCCAUGGCAGGAGAAUAAAGUCAAGUUUUUCCUGUUCAUCAUUCAAUGGCUCAAACGCACUGCUCUCUCGGCAAAAGCGAAAGGAGGAGCAACUUGCCAUUUGGAUAUAUCUUAGCUGUGUUUGUGCCCUCACUCAUGGUCCAGACUUUUUUCAAAUAGGACAUGGAGUUUUUCUGCAGCGAGCGUUUUGGUAGAAACUGCGCCUCCCGUUCAUUAUAAUGGUAAAUGACCACAAACAAGUGCGCACACCAUCUUUGGACCUUGAGUGUGACGCGAUCGGGUGGGGGAGGCGGUCGCGCUGGGGGCGGCGUGACACGGCUCGGGCCCGCCAGUGCCCCAACGGGGCCCUAGUUAUUAUUUUUCCUCCCCUUUGAACUGGAAAAUGGCCCACUUCCCACUGGUGAAAACUCAUGAAAUUUGGCAGGACGACCGGGCCUGGUGAAAAAUUUGAUAUUCCGAAGUCGCCCAAACAAGAAAAUGCAAAAUGGCUCCAUAGCGCCCCCUAAGGUGAAAAUUCACACUAUUGACUGUCACACGUGUACGCUUUGUCAAAAUGACACAAAAAUUGACACACACAUGUAUCUCAAUAAGAUCUACAAAAAAGUCAGUGUGGGCGUAUCUGUCAAAUGUACGGUUAAAGGGUUAUUUCGCAUUUUUUGCCGAUCCGCACACAUUGGAAUUUCGCUAACUCCCCCGAAGGCUUUCGUUCCACCGGCACCACAUUUGCUCAGGCCAAUCUACACCCCAUGGCCAUUAAAAGUUAUUCAAAUCAUGACGCUGCACCCCACGGUUUAGGUUCUAGGGGGCGCCAAAGAUAACCCUAAGAUCCACAUAUUUAAAAGUCUUAUAACUUUUUAUUUUUGCCCUCACUGGCCUCCAAGUUUUCUAGGAUGAUGCAAUGUCCAGCCAUCAACACAUUUGUGAAGGAAUUUUUACUCCCCAAAAGAGCGCCCCCCCAUGGCAGGAGAAAAAAGUCCAUUUUUUCUUGUCCCCUAAGGUGAAAAUACACAUUGUUGAGUGUAACACCUGUACGCUUUGGCAAAAUGACAAAAAUUGACACACACAUGUAUCUCAAUAAGAUCUACGAAAAAGUCAAUGCGCGCGUAUCUGUCAAAUGUACGGUUAAAGGGUUAUUCCGCAUUUUUUGCCGAUUCGCACACAUUGGAAUUUCGCUAACUCCUCCGAAGGCUUUCGUUCCACCGGCACCACAUUUGCUCAGGCCAAUCUACACCCCAUGGCCAUUAAAAGUUAUUCAAAUCAUGACGCUGCACCCCACGGUUUAGGUUCUAGGGGGCGCCAAAGAUAACCCUAAAAUCCACAUAUUUAAAAGUCUUAUAACUUUUUAUUUUUGUCCUCACUGGCCUCCAAGUUUUCUAGGAUGAUGCAAUGUCCAGCCAUCAACACAUUUGUGAAGGAAUUUUUACUCCCCAAAAGAGCGCCCCCCAUGGCAGGAGAAAAAAGUCCAUUUUUUCUUGUCCCCUAAGAUGAAAAUACAUAUUGUUGAGAUUCACGCCUAUACGCUUUGUCAUAUUGACACAAAAUUUGACAAUCACGUGCCUUGCCUGGUAUCAUUUUUUUCAGCACAACCUCACCUGUGCGAAUUUACAGUUAUUUUAUCAUGUUGACAUACUGAAUUUACACAAUGGACCCAAAUUCACACACAAAACAUAAAAUCCGAGUGGAAAAAAGUAACAUUUUUACUGUGAAAACCACAAAUAUGUGUGAUGAACUGUUUUUAAAACUUAAACUUCAAAUAAAAAUUGUAAACUUCAAAACAUAUGCAAAUUUUUAACAAAGAACAUAGUGAUUUACCUCUAUUUACAUCAAAAUGCAGGCAAUGGCCCAGGCAUUCUUUGUAAAAUUAUUUACAAAACACUGUAUAGUCUCACAAAUGUCACUUUUUAUUUAUGCCACUACAAAAAAACAUGAUGUAAAUGAUGCAUGAUGUAAAACAUGAUGUAAAAAACUUGUGUAGAUCCUCCUCUAUGUCAGUCCAUGUGUAAUUUUUCCAUAAUUCUUUGUUUUUUGCAGCAUUUUUGUUAGUGUAACUGCAGAUUGUGCUGACAGUGUCUAUGGCACAAAAAAAAAAAAAAAUUAAAAUGCCUCAACAUGAACCCCUGGUGGUCUCUGAGGGUGAAACCUGCUAACUGCUGCAGCUCUGUCAGCUUCAGUCUCCCAUGCAGAGCUCUGAGCGCAUGUGUGGCUCUGCACCCUUAGCAGCGUUGCUAACUCCUCAGUAAGGAAAGCCUGCUUCAUGUCAGAGUCUCUAAACUCCAGAAGAAGUCGAUAAAAGUCCCUUUCUUUCUAAAAAAAAGUCGUUAGGGGGUCUGAAAAGUCAUUGAAUCUAACAACAAAGUCGCUAGGUUUGCAACUACGUGUCCCAGACUGCAUCCCUGCUGAGAGUCCCUCCCUCCCUUCUCAUGUUGCAGGAAGAACGUAAGCGCCCGCCCCUUGUCAAUCAGUCACCAUAUAAUUUUGGAUUGGUUGUUGUGGUGAAGUUUUCCACCAAUAGGAGAGAUGUUGUGGUGUGUUUUUUUUUUCUUUUGGCAAGCCUUUUCCGCCUGUAAGACCUGUCGCUAAUGUCUGCAUGCUAUGUUUUCCUGUCUCAUACAGCGCGAUCGAGCGCCGAACGUGAUCAAAAUAAGCAGAAAAAAAGUAUCGCGGACAUAAUUUAUCAUAACUCUGGUUUUAUUUGGCCUAUCAACACAAUUUAAAAACUGGUAUAUAGGUUGAGGUCCUCACUUUUGAGAUAAGUUGAAACGGAGAGUCAACGAGGCUCCGUCUUGCAGCUACAUCCGGUUAAAUAUGUCAUGUGACUUGAACGCACACACAGACACACACACACGCACACACACACACACACACACACACUCAGAGUCUGGUUUUUAGCACCUGCAAAAACAUGCUAUUUACAUAUUUGACAAGAAUGCAGAGGCUCCUUUUGCCCCUGAAAAAAAUCAAAUUUCAAACACAACUUGACUGGUCAUUUCUCCAAAAGACAACCAUGAAGCUCCAUCCAAACCUGAAGCAGGCAGUUGGUGCAUGUGUACAGUAACCUGAGGGGAGUGAGGUGAGUGCUUCUGAGGAGAACAUGAGCAGUGAAGAUUCACCUUGGAGCUAGAACAGAGACAUGCACAUGAUUAUACAGGGGCAGGGGCUCAAGUUUUUUCCAGUCGUUUAUACAAUAUGGAAAUUAAUGUGAAAUUAAAACACAAAGUAUUAAUAGAAAGGUAAUGACUGUCCUGUGUAGGUGACAGUGAUAUCGAAUAGGCUAGGCACUCACGAGGCUGGCUGUGGCAAGUGUAAGUGAAAGCAACACGCACUGGCAGGAAGAACAGCAAACGCCGAUGAAGGAAAAGGGACUUUGCAGUGAUGGGCGUUACCAGAGAGGGCGAUGGCCAGAGGACACAAAUGGGACGGGGAGGCAGCACGUGGGGGGGGGGGCGACAUGGCUCGGGCCCGCCAGUGCCCCAACGGGGUCCUAGUCUUUGUUUCUUUCUUUCUUUUUAGGGCCCGAGCGUAGCUGCUAAGCAGCUGCGAGAGCCCUCUUGUUCCUGUAGUUUCCUUCUUUUUAGGGCCCGAGCGUAGCUGCUAAGCAGCUGCGAGAGCCCUCUUGUUCCUGUAGUUUCCUUCUUUUGUUAUUAUUAUUAUUAUUAUUUUUCCUCCCCUUUGAACUGGAAAAUGGCCCACUUCCCACUGGCGAAAACUCAUGAAAUUUGGCAGGACGACCGGGCCUGGUGAAAAAUUUGAUAUUCCGAAGUCGCCCAAACAAGAAAAUGCAAAAUGGCUCCAUAGCGCCCCCUAAGGUGAAAAUUCACACUAUUGACUGUCACGCCGGUACGCUUUGUCAAAAUGACACAAAAAUUGACACACACAUGUAUCUCAAUAAGAUCUACAAAAAAGUCAGUGCGGGCGUAUCUGUCAAAUGUACGGUUAAAGGGUUAUUUCGCAUUUUUUGCCGAUCCGCACACAUUGGAAUUUCGCUAACUCCUCCGAAGGCUUCCUUUUCACCGGCACCACAUUUGCUCAGGCCAAUCUACACCCCAUGGCCAUUAAAAGUUAUUCAAAUCAUGACGCUGCACCCCACGGUUUAGGUUCUAGGGGGCGCCAAAGAUAACCCUAAGAUCCACAUAUUUAAAAGUCUUAUAACUUUUUAUUUUUGCCCUCACUGGCCUCCAAGUUUUCUAGGAUGAUGCAAUGUCCAGCCAUCAACACAUUUGUGAAGGAAUUUUUACUCCCCAAAAGAGCGCCCCCCCAUGGCAGGAGAAAAAAGUCCAUUUUUUCUUGUCCCAUAAGGUGAAAAUUCACACUAUUGACUGUCACGCCUGUACGCUUUGUCAAAAUUACACAAAAAUUGACACACACAUGUAUCUCAAUAAGAUCUACAAAAAAGUCAGUGCGGGCGUAUCUGUCAAAUGUACGGUUAAAGGGUUAUUGCGCAUUUUUUGCCGAUCCGCACACAUUGGAAUUUCGCUAACUCCUCCGAAGGCUUUCGUUCCACCGGCACCACAUUUGCUCAGGCCAAUCUACACCCCAUGGCCAUUAAAAGUUAUUCAAAUCAUGACGCUGCACCCCACGGUUUAGGUUCUAGGGGGCGCCAAAGAUAACCCUAAAAUCCACAUAUUUAAAAGUCUUAUAACUUUUUAUUUUUGUCCUCUCUGGCCUCCAAGUUUUCUAGGAUGAUGCAAUGUCCAGCCAUCAACACAUUUGUGAAGGAAUUUUUACUCCCCAAAAGAGCGCCCCCCCAUGGCAGGAGAAAAAAGUCCAUUUUUUCUUGUCCCAUAAGGUGAAAAUACACAUUGUUGACUGUCAUACCUGUAUGCUUUGUCAUAUUGACACAAAAUUUGACACACACAUGUAUCUCAAUAAGAUCUACGAAAAAGUCAAUGCGCGCGUAUCUGUAAAAUGUACGGUUAAAGGGCUAUUUUGCAUUUUUUGCCGAUUAGCACACAUUGGAAUGUGGCUAACUCCUCCUAAGGCUUUCGUCCCACUGACAGCAAAUUUGCUCAGGCCAAUCUACACCCCAUGGCCAUUCAAAGUUGUAAAAAUCAUGACGCUGCACCCCACGGUUUACGUUCUAGGGGGCGCCAAAGAUGACCCAAAUAUCCACAUUCUUAAAAGAAUCCACCCCCCCCAUCCCCCAUCCCCCAUCCCCCAUCCCCCAUGGCAGGAGAAACAGUCAAGUUUUUCCUGCCCAUCACUCAAUGGCUCAAUCGCAUCGCUCUCCCUGCAACACCGUAACGAGGAGCAACUUGCCGUUUGGAUAUAUCCUAGCUGUGUUUGUGCCCUCACUCAUGGUCCAGACUUUUUUCAAAUAGGACAUGUAGUUUGUCUGCAGCGAGUGUUUUGGUAGAAACUGCGCCUCCCAUUCAUUAUAAUGGGAAAUGACCACAGACAAGUGCGCACACCAUCUUUGGACCUUGAGUGUGACGCGAUCGGGAGGGGGAGGCGGUCGCACUGGGGUCGGCGCAACGCGGCUCGGGCCCGCCAGUGCCCCAACGGGGCCCUAGUGUUAUUAGGGCCCGAGCGUAGCUGCUAAGCAGCUGCGAGAGCCCUCUUGUUCCUGUAGUUUCCUUCUUUUGUUAUUAUUAUUAUUAUUUUUCCUCCCCUUUGAACUGGAAAAUGGCCCACUUCCCACUGGCGAAAACUCAUGAAAUUUGGCAGGACGACCGGGCCUGGUGAAAAAUUUGAUAUUCCGAAGUCGCCCAAACAAGAAAAUGCAAAAUGGCUCCAUAGCGCCCCCUAAGGUGAAAAUUCACACUAUUCACUGUCACGCCGGUACGCUUUGUCAAAAUGACACAAAAAUUGACACACACAUGUAUCUCAAUAAGAUCUACAAAAAAGUCAGUGCGGGCGUAUCUGUCAAAUGUACGGUUAAAGGGUUAUUUCGCAUUUUUUGCCGAUCCGCACACAUUGGAAUUUCGCUAACUCCUCCGAAGGCUUUCGUUCCACCGGCACCACAUUUGCUCAGGCCAAUCUACACCCCAUGGCCAUUAAAAGUUAUUCAAAUCAUGACGCUGCACCCCACGGUUUAGGUUCUAGGGGGCGCCAAAGAUAACCCUAAGAUCCACAUAUUUAAAAGUCUUAUAACUUUUUAUUUUUGCCCUCACUGGCCUCCAAGUUUUCUAGGAUGAUGCAAUGUCCAGCCAUCAACACAUUUGUGAAGGAAUUUUUACUCCCCAAAAGAGCGCCCCCCCAUGGCAGGAGAAAAAAGUCCAUUUUUUCUUGUCCCCUAAGGUGAAAAUACACAUUGUUGAGUGUAACACCUGUACGCUUUGGCAAAAUGACACAAAAAUUGACACACACAUGUAUCUCAAUAAGAUCUUCGAAAAAGUCAAUGGCCACGUAUCUGUAAAAUGUACGGUUAAAGGGUUAUUUCGCAUUUUUUGCAGAUUCGCACACAUUGGAAUUUGGCUAACUCCUCCUAAGGCUUUCGUCCCACUGACACCAAAUUUGCUCAGGCCAAUCUACACCCCAUGGCCAUUCAAAGUUGUAAAAAUCAUGACGCUGCACCCCACGGUUUACGUUCUAGGGGGCGCCAAAGAUGACCCAAAAAUCCACAUUCUUAAAAGAAUCCACAUCCCCCCUAUGGCAGGAGAAAAAGUCAAGUUUUUCCUGCCCAUCGCUCAAUGGCUCAAUCGCAUCGCUCUCCAGGCAACACCGUAAGGAGGAGCAACCUGGCAUUUCGAUAUAUCAUAGCUGUGUUUGUGCCCUCACUCAUGGUCCAGACUUUUUUCAAAUAGGACAUGAAGUUUGUCUGCAGCGAGUGUUUUGGUAGAAACUGCGCCUCCCAUUCAUUAUAAUGGGAAAUGACCACAGACAAGUGCGCACACCAUCUUUGGUUCUUGAGUGUGACUCGAUCGGGACGGGGAGGCGGUCGCACUGGGGGCGGCGCGACGCGGCUCGGGCCCGACAGUGCCCCACCGGGGCCCUAGUUAUUAUUUUUCCUCCCCUUUGAACUGGAAAAUGGCCCACUUCCCACUGGCGAAAACUCAUGAAAUUUGGCAGGACGACCGGGCCUGGUGAAAAAUUUGAUAUUCCGAAGUCGCCCAAACAAGAAAAUGCAAAAUGGCUCCAUAGCGCCCCCUAAGGUGAAAAUUCACACUAUUGACUGUCACGCCUGUACGCUUUGUCAAAAUGACACAAAAAUUGACACACACAUGUAUCUCAAUAAGAUCUACAAAAAAGUCAGUGCGGGCGUAUCUGUCAAAUGUACGGUUAAAGGGUUAUUUUGCAUUUUUUGCCGAUCCGCACACAUUGGAAUUUCGCUAACUCCUCCAAAGGCUUUCGUUCCACCGGCACCACAUUUGCUCAGGCCAAUCUACACCCCAUGGCCAUUAAAAGUUAUUCAAAUCAUGACGCUGCACCCCACGGUUUAGGUUCUAGGGGGCGCCAAAGAUAACCCUAAGAUCCACAUAUUUAAAAGUCUUAUAACUUUUUAUUUUUGCCCUCACUGGCCUCCAAGUUUUCUAGGAUGAUGCAAUGUCCAGCCAUCAACACAUUUGUGAAGGAAUUUUUACUCCCCAAAAGAGCGCCCCCCCAUGGCAGGAGAAAAAAGUCCAUUUUUUCUUGUCCCCUAAGGUGAAAAUACACAUUGUUGAGUGUAACACCUGUACGCUUUGGCAAAAUGACACAAAAAUUGACACACACAUGUAUCUCAAUAAGAUCUACGAAAAAGUCAAUGCGCGCGUAUCUGUCAAAUGUACGGUUAAAGGGUUAUUCCGCAUUUUUUGCCGAUCCGCACACAUUGGAAUUUCGCUAACUCCUCCGAAGGCUUUCGUUCCACCGGCACCACAUUUGCUCAGGCCAAUCUACACCCCAUGGCCAUUAAAAGUUAUUCAAAUCAUGACGCUGCACCCCACGGUUUAGGUUCUAGGGGGCGCCAAAGAUAACCCUAAAAUCCACAUAUUUAAAAGUCUUAUAACUUUUUAUUUUUGUCCUCACUGGCCUCCAAGUUUUCUAGGAUGAUGCAAUGUCCAGCCAUCAACACAUUUGUGAAGGAAUUUUUACUCCCCAAAAGAGCGCCCCCCCAUGGCAGGAGAAAAAAGUCAAUUUUUUCUUGUCCCCUAAGGUGGAAAUUCACACUAUUGACUGUCACGCCUGUACGCUUUAUCAUAUUGACACAAAAUUUGACAAUCACAUGUAUCUCAAUAAGAUCUACAAAAAAGUCAAUGCGCGCGUAUCUGUCAAAUGUACGGUUAAAGGGCUAUUUUGCAUUUUUUGCCGAUUCGCACACAUUGGAAUGUGGCUAACUCCUCCUAAGGCUUUCGUCCCACUGACACCAAAUUUGCUCAGGCCAAUCUACACCCCAUGGUCAUUCAAAGUUGUAAAAAUCAUGACGCUGCACCCCACGCUUUACGUUCUAGGGGGCGCCAAAGAUGACCCAAAUAUCCACAUUCUUAAAAGAAUCCACAUCCCCCCCCCCCCCCAUCCCCCAACCCCCAUGGCAGGAGAAACAGUCAAGUUUUUCCUGCCCAUCACUCAAUGGCUCAAUCGCAUCACUCUCCCGGCAACACCGUAACAAGGAGCAACUUGCCGUUUGGAUAUAUCCUAGCUGUGUUUGUGCCCUCACUCAUGGUCCAGACUUUUUUCAAAUAGGACAUGUAGUUUGUCUGCAGCGAGUGUUUUGGUAGAAACUGCGCCUCCCAUUCAUUAUAAUGGGAAAUGACCACAGACAAGUGAGCACACCAACUUUGGACCUUGAGUGUGACGCGAUCGGGAGGGGGAGGCGGUCGCGCUGGGGGCGGCGCAACGCGGCUCGGGCCCGACAGUGCCCCACCGGGGCCCUAGUUUCUUUUUCCUCCCCUUUGAACUGGAAAAUGGCCCACUUCCCACUGGCGAAAACUCAUGAAAUUUGGCAGGACAACCGGGCCUGGUGAAAAAUUUGAUAUUCCGAAGUCGCCCAAACAAGAAAAUGCAAAAUGGCUCCAUAGCGCCCCCUAAGGUGAAAAUUCACACUAUUGACUGGCACGCCUGUACGCUUUGUCAAAAUGACACAAAAAUUGACACACACAUGUAUCUCAAUAAGAUCUACGAAAAAGUCAGUGCGGGCGUAUCUGUCAAAUGUACGGUUAAAGGGUUAUUUCGCAUUUUUUGCCGAUCCGCACACAUUGGAAUUUCGCUAACUCCUCCGAAGGCUUUCGUUCCACCGGCACCACAUUUGCUCAGGCCAAUCUACACCCCAUGGCCAUUAAAAGUUAUUCAAAUCAUGACGCUGCACCCCACGGUUUAGGUUCUAGGGGGCGCCAAAGAUAACCCUAAAAUCCACAUAUUUAAAAGUCUUAUAACUUUUUAUUUUUGCCCUCACUGGCCUCCAAGUUUUCUAGGAUGAUGCAAUGUCCAGCCAUCAACACAUUUGUGAAGGAAUUUUUACUCCCCAAAAGAGCGCCCCCCCAUGGCAGGAGAAAAAAGUCCAUUUUUUCUUGUCCCCUAAGGUGAAAAUUCACACUAUUGACUGUCACGCCUGUACGCUUUGUCAAAAUGACACAAAAAUUGACACACACAUGUAUCUCAAUAAGAUCUACAAAAAAGUCCAUGUGCGCGUAUCUGUCUAAUGUACGGUUAAAGGGUUAUUUCGCAUUUUUUGCCGAUCUGCACACAUUGGAAUUUCGCUAACUCCUCCGAAGGCUUUCGUUCCACCGGCACCACAUUUGCUCAGGCCAAUCUACACCCCAUGGCCAUUAAAAGUUAUUAAAAUCAUGACGCUGCACCCCACGGUUUACGUUCUAGGGGGCGCCAAAGAUAACCCAAAAAUCCACAUUUUUAAAAGUCUUAUAACUUUUUAUUUUUGUCCUCACUGGCCUCCAAGUUUUCUAGGAUGAUGCAAUGUCCAGCCAUCAACACAUUUGUGAAGGAAUUUUUACUCCCUAAAAGAGCGCCCCCCCAUGGCAGGAGAAAAAAGUCCAUUUUUUCUUGUCCCCUAAGGUGAAAAUACACAUUGUUGACUGUCACGCCUGUACGCUUUGGCAAAAUGACACAAAAAUUGACAAUCAUGUGUAUCUCAAUUAGAUCUACGAAAAAGUCAAAGAGCGCGUAUCUGUAUAAUGUACGGUAAAAGGGCUAUUUUGCAUUUUUUGCCGAUUCGCACACAUUGGAAUUUCGCUAACUCCUCCUAAGGCUUUCGUCCCACUGACACCAAAUUUGCUCAGGCCAAUCUACACUCCAUGGCCAUUCAAAGUUGUAAAAAUCAUGACGCUGCACCCCACGGUUUACGUUUUAGGGGGCGCCAAAGAUGACCCAAAUAUACAUUACAGUAGACAAAGUAGUUUUGCCCACUGAGUGGCGCCAAAGGGACUUGUCUGUGGAGUCUGUGAGUCACUAUUGGCCGUUUUUGACUACUUUAGAUUUUACCUUUAUAUUUCCUCUUACAAAAUUUUUACCUUGCCUUGCCUGGUAUCAUUUUUUUCAGCACAACCUCACCUGUGUCAAUUUACAGUUAUUUUAUCAUUUUGACAUACUAUAUUUACACAUUGGACCCAAAUUCACACACAAAACAUAAAAUCCGAGUGGAAAAAAGUAACGUUUUUACUGUGAAAACCACAAAUAUGUGUGAUGAACUGUUUUUAAAACUUAAACUUCAAAUAAAAAUUGUAAACUUCAAAACAUAUGCAAAUUUUAACAAAGAACAUAGUAAUUUACCUCUAUUGACAUCAAAAUGCAGGCAAUGGCCCAGGUGUUCUUUGUAAAAUUAUUUACAAAACACUGUAUAGUCUCACAAAUGUCACUUUUUAUUUAUGCCACUACAAAAAAACAUGAUGUAAAUGAUGCAUGAUGUAAAACAUGAUGUAAAAAACUUGUGUAGAUCCUCCUCUAUGUUAGUCCAUGUGUAAUUUUUCCAUAAUUCUUUGUUUUUUGCAGCAUUUUUGUUAGUGUAACUGCAGAUUGUGCUGACAGUGUCUAUGGCAAAAAAAAAAAAAAAACUGAAAAUGCCUCAACAUGAACCCCUGGUGGUCUCUGAGGGUGAAACCUGCUAACUGCUGCAGCUCUGUCAGCUUCAGUCUCCCAUGCAGAGCUCUGAGCGCAUGUGUGGCUCUGCACCCUUAGCAGCGUUGCUAACUCCUCAGUAAGGAAAGCCUGCUUCAUGUCAGAGUCUCUAAACUCCAGAAGAAGUCGAUAAAAGUCACUUUCUUUCUAAAAAAAAGUCGUUAGGGGGUCUGAAAAGUCAUUGAAUCUAACAACAAAGUCGCUAGGUUUGCAACUACGUGUCCCAGACUGCAUCCCUGCUGAGAGUCCCUCCCUCCCUUCUCAUAUUGCAGGAAGAACGUAAGUUCCCGCCCCUUGUCAAUCAGUCACCAUAUAAUUUUGGAUUGGUUGUUGUGGUGAAGUUUUCCACCAAUAGGAGAGAUGUUGUGGUGUGUAUUUUUUUUCCUUUGGCAAGCCUUUUCCGCCUGUAAGACCUGUCGCUAAUGUCUGCAUGCUAUGUUUUCCUGUCUCAUACAGCGCGAUCGAGCGCCGAACGUGAUCAAAAUAAGCAGAAAACAAGUAUCGCGGACAUAAUUUAUCAUAACUCUGGUUUUAUUUGGCCUAUCAACACAAUUUAAAAACUGGUAUAUAGGUUGAGGUCCUCACUUUUGAGAUAAAUUGAAACGGAGAGUCAACGAGGCUCCGUCUUGCAGCUACAUCCGGUUAAAUAUGUCAUGUGACUUGAACGCACACACACACACACAGACACACACACACACGCACACACACACACUCAGAGUCUGGUUUGUAGCACCUGCAAAAACAUGCUAUUUACAUAUUUGACAAGAAUGCAGAGGCUCCUUUUGCCCCUGAAAAAAAUCAAAUUUCAAACACAACUUGACUGGUCAUUUCUCCAAAAGACAACCAUGAAGCUCCAUCCAAACCUGAAGCAGGCAGUUGGUGCAUGUGUACAGUAACCUGAGGGGAGUGAGGUGACUGCUUCUGAGGAGAACAUGAGCAGUGAAGAUUUACCUUAGAGCUAGAACAGAGACGUGCACAUGAUUAUACAGGGGCAGGGGCUCAAGUUUUUUCCAGUCGUUUAUACAAUUUGGAAAUUAAUGUGAAAUUAAAAAACAAAGUAUUAAUAGAAAGGUAAUGACUGUCCUGUGUAGGUGACAGUGAUAUCCAAUAGGCUAGGCACUCACGAGGCUGGCUGUGGCAAGUGUAAGUGAAAGCAACACGCACUGGCAGGAAGAACAGCAAACGCCGAUGAAGGAAAAGGGUCUUUGCAGUGAUGGGCGUUACCAAAGAGGGCGAUAGCCAGAGGACACAAAUGGGACGGGGAGGCAGCGCGUUGGGGGGGGGGACGCGACACAGCUCGGGCCCGCCAGUGCCCCAACGGGGUCCUAGUUCUUUCUUAGGGCCCGAGCGUAGCUGCUAAGCAGCUGCGAGAGCCCUCUUGUUCCUGUAGUUUCCUUCUUUUGUUAUUAGGGCCCGAGCGUAGCUGCUAAGCAGCUGCGAGAGCCCUCUUGUUCCUGAUGGAUUCUUUAGGGCCCGAGCCAGCUGCAGAGCAGCCGGGCGUAGAGCCCUAUUAUUCCUGUAUAGGUUUUUCUUUCUUCUUUCUUUCUUUCUUUCUUUCUUCUUAUUUUUCCUCCCCUUUGAAGGGGAAAAUGGCCCACUUCCCACUGGCGAAAACUCAUGAAAUUUGGCAGGACGACCGGGCCUGGUGAAAAUUUCGAUAUUCUGAAGUCGCCCAAACAAUAAAAUGCAAAAUGGCUCCAUAGCGCCCCCUAAGGCGAAAAUUCACACUAUUGACUGUCACGCCUGUACGCUUUGUCAUAUUGACACAAAAAUUGACACACACGUGUAUCUCAAUACGGUCUACGAAAAAGUCAGCGUGGGCGCAUCUGUGAAAUGUACGGUUAGAGGGUUAUUUCGCAUUUUUUGCCGAUCUGCACACAUUGGAAUUUCGCUAACUCCUCCGAAGGCAUUCGUUCCACCAGCACCACAUUUGCUCAGGCCAAUCUACACCCCAUGGCCAUUAAAAGUUGUACAAAUCAUGACGCUGCACCCCACGGUUUACGUUCUAGGGGGCGCCAAAGAUAACCCAAAAAUCCACAGUCUUAAAAGUCUUAGAACUUUUUAUUUUUGUCCUCACUGGCCUCCAAGUUCUCUAGGAUGAUGCAAUGUCCAGCCAUCAACACAUUUGUGAAGGAAUUUUUACUCACCAAAAGAGCGCCCCCACAUGGCAGGAGAAAAAAGUCCAAUUUUUCUUGUCCCCUAAGGUGAAAAUACACAUUGUUGAGUGUCACGCCUAUACGCUUUGUUAUAUUGACCCAAAAUUUGACAAUCACGUGUAUCUCAAUAAGAUCUAUGAAAAAGUCAAUGGGCACGUAUCUGUAAAAUGUACGGUUAAAGGGUUAUUUCGCAUUUUUUCCCGAUCCGCACACAUUGGAAUUUCGCUAACUCCUCCGAAGGCUUUAGUUCCACCGCCACCAAAUUUGCUCAGGCCAAUCUACACCCCAUGGCCAUUAAAAGUUGUACAAAUCAUGACGCUGCACUCCACGGUUUAGGUUCUAGGGGGCGCCAAAGAUAACCCAAAAAUCCACAUUCUUAAUAGUCUUAUAACUUUUUAUUUUUGUCCUCACUGGCCUCCAAGUUUUCUAGGAUGAUGCAAUGUCCAGCCAUCAACACAUUUGUAAAGGAAUUUUUACUCCCGUAAAGAGCGCCCCCCCCAUGGCAGGAGAAAAAAGUCCAUUUUUUCUUGUCCCCUAAGGUGAAAAAACACAUUGUUGACUGUCACGCCUAUACGCUUUGUCAAAAUGACACAAAAUUUGACACACACGUGUAUCUCAAUAAGAUCUACGAAAAAGUCAAUGGGCACGUAUCUGUAAAAUGUACGGUUAAAGGGCUAUUUCGCAUUUUUUGCCGAUUCGCACACAUUGGAAUGUGGCUAACUCCUCCUAAGGCUUUCUUCCCACCGACACCAAAUUUGUUCAAGCCGAUCUACAUCCCAUGGCCAUUCAAAGUUGUAAAAAUCAUGCCGCUGCACCCCAUGGUUUACGUUCUAGGGGGCGCCAAAGAUGACCCAAAUAUCCACAUUCUUAAAAGAAUCCACAUCCCCCCCCCAAGGCAGGAGAAAAAGUCCAGUUAACCCUGCCCAUCGCUCAAUGGCUCAAUCGCAUCGCUCUCCUGGCAACACCGUAAGGAGGAGCAACUUGCCAUUUGGAUAUAUCCUAGCUGUGUUUGUGCCCUCACUCAUGGUCCAGACUUUUUUCAAAUAGGACAUGUAGUUUGUCUGCAGCGACCGUUUUGGUAGAAACUGCACCUCCCAUUCAUUAUAAUGGGAAAUGACCACAGACAAGUGCGCACACCAUCUUUGGACCUUGAGUGUGAUGCGAUCGGGAGGGGGAGGCGGUCGCGCUGGGGGCGGCGCGACGCGGCUCGGGCCCGACAGUGCCCCACCGGGGCCCUAGUCUUUCGUUAUUUUUCCUCCGCUUUAAACUGGAAAAUGGCCCACUUCCCACUGACGAAAACUCAGGAAAUUUGGCAGGACGACCGGGCCUGGUGAAAAAUUUGAUAUUCUGAAGUCGCUCAAACAAAAAAAUGAAAAAUGGCUCCAUAGCGCCCCCUAUGGUGAAAACUCACCUGACACCUGUACGCUUUGUCAAAAUGACACAAAAUUUGACACACAUGUGUAUCUCAAUAAGAUCUACAAAAAAGUCAGUGUGGGCGUAUCUGUCAAAUGUACGGUUAAAGGGCUAUUUCGCUUUUUUUGCCGAUCCGCACACAUAGGAAUUUCGCUAACUCCUCCGAAGGCUUUCGUUCCACCGGCACCAAAUUUGCUCAGGCCAAUCUACACCCCAUGACCAUUAAAAGUUGUACAAAUCAUGACGCUGCACCCCACGGUUUAGGUUCUAGGGGGCGCCAAAGAUAACCCAAAAAUCCACAUUCUUAAAAGUCUUAUAACUUUUUAUUUUUGUCCUCACUGGCCUCCAAGUUUUCUAGGAUGAUGCAAUGUCCAGCCAUCAACACAUUUGUGAAGGAAUUUUAACUCUCCAAAAGAGCGCCCCCCCAUGGCAGGAGAAAAAAGUCAAUUUUUUCUUAUCCCGAAAGGUGAAAAUACACGUUGUUGACUGUCACGCCUUUACGCUUUGUCAUAUUGACAAAAAAUUUGACAAUCACAUGUAUCUCAAUAAGAUCUAUGAAAAAGUCAAUGGGCACGUAAGUGUAAAAUGUACGGUUAAAGGGCUAUUUUGCAUUUUUUGCCGAUUCGCACACAUUGGAAUUUCGCUAACUCCUCCUAAGGCUUUCGUCCCACUGACACCAAAUUUGCUCAGGCCAAUCUACACUCCAUGGCCAUUCAAAGUUGUAAAAAUCAUGACGCUGCACCCCACGGUUUACGUUUUAGGGGGCGCCAAAGAUGACCCAAAUAUACAUUACAGCAGACAAAGUAGUUUUGCCCACUGAGUGGCGCCAAAGGGACUAGUCUGUGGAGUCUGUGAGUCACUAUUGGCCUUUUUUGACUACUUUAGAUUUUACCUUUAUAUUUCCUCUUAAAAUUUUUUUACCUUGCCUUGCCUGGUAUCAUUUUUUUCAGCACAACCUCACCUGUGUGAAUUUACAGUUAUUUUAUCAUUUUGACAUACUGUAUUUACACAAUGGACCCAAAUUCACACACAAAACAUAAAAUCCGAGUGGAAAAAAGUAACAUUUUUACUGUGAAAACCACAAAUAUGUGUGAUGAACUGUUUUUAAAACUUAAACUUCAAAUAAAAAUUGUAAACUUCAAAACAUAUGCAAAUUUUUAACAAAGAACAUAGUAAUUUACCUCUAUUUACAUCAAAAUGCAGGCAAUGGCCCAGGCGUUCUUUGUAAAAUUAUUUACAAAACACUGUAUAGUCUCACAAAUGUCACUUUUUAUUUAUGCCACUACAAAAAAACAUGAUGUAAAUGAUGCAUGAUGUAAAACAUGAUGUAAAAAACUUGUGUAAAUCCUCCUCUAUGUCAGUCCAUGUGUAAUUUUUCCAUAAUUCUUUGUUUUUUGCAGCUUUUUUGUUAGUGUAACUGCAGAUUGUGCUGACAGUGUCUAUGGCAAAAAAAAAAAAAAAAAAAUGAAAAUGCCUCAACAUGAACCCCUGGUGGUCUCUGAGGGUGAAACCUGCUAACUGCUGCAGCUCUGUCAGCUUCAGUCUCCCAUGCAGAGCUCGGAGCUCAUGUGUGUCUCUGCACCCUUAGCAGCGUUGCUAACUCCUCAGUAAGGAAAGCCUGCUUCAUGUCAGAGUUUCUAAACUCCAGAAGAAGUCGAUAAAAGUCCCUUUCUUUCUAAAAAAAAAGUCGUUAGGGGGUCUGAAAAGUCAUUGAAUCUACAACAAAGUCGCUAGGUUUGCAACUACGUGUCCCAGACUGCAUCCCUGCUGAGAGUCCCUCCCUCCCUUCUCAUAUUGCAGGAAGAACGUAAGCGCCCGCCCCUUGUCAAUCAGUCACCAUAUAAUUUUGGAUUGGUUGUUGUGGUGAAGUUUUCCACCAAUAGGAGAGAUGUUGUGGUGUGUUUUUUUUUUUCUUUUGGCAAGCCUUUUCCGCCUGUAAGAGCUGUCGCUAAUGUCUGCAUGCUAUGUUUUCCUGUCUCAUACAGCGCGAUCGAGCGCCGAACGUGAUCAAAAUAAGCAGAAAAAAAGUAUCGCGGACAUAAUUUAUCAUAACUCUGGUUUUAUUUGGCCUAUCAACACAAUUUAAAAACUGGUAUAUAGUUUGAGGUCCUCACUUUUUAGAUUAGUUGAAACGGAUGCUGCGUCCGAACUGCCCGCUCGGAUACUACAUGCUACUGCUACGUGCUACUGCUAGAUCCUACUCCUACAUACUAAAAACGUUGGCCCUAUUCGGACACACUACACGAGCGGUGGGGAAAGACGACCCCCGCAGGCAGAGAGUAGGUACUGCGCCCGUGCAGACAGUGGUAACUGAAGCCCCUCAUCUGCGGGCCUGGCUGUAGUACUGCAGCUGUGCAGUUUCAUGAUGGAAUAAGUGAGCUUUACCUCCAUGAUGUCGCCACUUGCUCAUGAAAUGAUUCGGGAGGGGGAAGCGGUUGCGCUGGGGGCGGCGCAACGCGGCUCGGGCCCGACAGUGCCCCACCGGGGCCCUAGUUAGGGCCCGAGCGUAGCUGCUAAGCAGCUGCGAGAGCCCUCUUGUUCCUGAUGGAUUCUUCUUUUGUUAUUAUUAUUAUUUUUCCUCCGCUUUAAACUGGAAAAUGGCCGACUUCCCACUGGCGAAAACUCAUGAAAUUUGGCAGGACGACCGGGCCUGGUGAAAAAUUCGAUAUUCUGAAGUCGCCCAAACAAUAAAAUGCAAAAUGGCUCCAUAGCGCCCCCUAAGGCGAAAAUUCACACUAUUGACUGUCACGCCUGUACGCUUUGUCAUAUUGACACAAAAAUUGACACACACGUGUAUCUCAAUACGUUCUACGAAAAAGUCAGCGCGGGCGCAUCUGUGAAAUGUACAGUUAGAGGGUUAUUUCGCAUUUUUUGCCGAUCUGCACACAUUGGAAUUUCGCUAACUCCUCCGAAGGCAUUCGUUCCACCGGCACCACAUUUGCUCAGGCCAAUCUACACCCCAUGGCCAUUAAAAGUUGUACAAAUCAUUACGCUGCACCCCACAGUUUACGUUCUAGGGGGCGCCAAAGAUAACCCAAAAAUCCACAUAUUUAAAAGUCUUAUAACUUUUUAUUUUUGUCCUCACUGGCCUCCAAGUUUUCUAGGAUGAUGCAAUGUCCAGCCAUCAACACAUUUGUGAAGGAAUUUUUACUCCCCAAAAGAGCGCCCCCACAUGGCAGGAGAAAAAAGUCCAUUUUUUCUUGUCCCCUAAGGUGAAAAUACACAUUGUUGAGUGUCACGCCUAUACGCUUUGUCAUAUUGACCCAAAAUUUGACAAUCACGUGUAUCUCAAUAAGAUCUACGAAAAAGUCAAUGGGCACGUAUCUGUAAAAUGUAUGGUUAAAGGGCUAUUUCGCAUUUUUUGCAGAUUCGCACACAUUGGAAUGUGGCUAACUCCUCCUAAGGCUUUCUUCCCACCGACACCAAAUUUGCUCAAGCCGAUCUACAUCCCAUGGCCAUUCAAAGUUGUAAAAAUCAUGCCGCUGCACCCCAUGGUUUACGUUCUAGGGGGCGCCAAAGAUGACCCAAAUAUCCACAUUCUUAAAAGUCGUUUUGGCCACUGCAGGAGUACAGAGUACUGCAGGAUACACACACACAGACACACACAAACACACACACACACACACACGCACACACACACACACACACACACACACACACACACACACACACACACACACACACACUCAGAGUCUGUUUUUUAGCACCUGCAAAAACAUGCUAUUUACAUAUUUGACAACAAUGCAGAGGCUCCUUUUGCCCCUGAAAAAAAUCAAAUUUCAAACACAACUUGACUGGUCAUUUCUCCAAAAGACAACCAUGAAGCUCCAUCCAAACCUGAAGCAGGCAGUUGGUGCAUGUGUACAGUUACCUGAGGGGAGUGAGGUGAGUGCUUCUGAGGAGAACAUGAGCAGUGAAGAUUCACCUUGGAGCGAGAACAGGGACGUGCACAUGAUUAUACAGGGGCAGGGGCUCAAGUUUUUUCCAGUCGUUUAUACAAUAUGGAAAUUAAUGUGAAAUUAAAAAACAAAGUAUUAAUAGAAAGGUAAUGACUGUCCUGUGUAGGUGACAGUGAUAUCCAAUAGGCUAGGCACUCACGAGGCUGGCUGUGGCAAGUGUAAGUGAAAGCAACACGCACUGGCAGGAAGAGCAGCAAACGCCGAUGAAGGAAAAGGGUCUUUGCAGUGAUGGGCGUUACCAGAGAGGACGAUGGCCAGAGGACGCGAAUGGGACGGGGAGGAAGCGCAUUGGUGGGGGGGGGGGGGGCGCGACACAGCUCGGGCCCGCCAGUGCCCCAACGGGGCCCUAGUCUUCUUCUUCUUCUUCUUAUUAGGGCCCGAGCCAGCUGCAGAGCAGCCGGGCGUAGAGCCCUAUUAUUCCUGUAUAGGUUUUCUUUCUUCUUUCUUUCUUUCUUUCUUUCUUUCUUCUUAUUUUUCCUCCCCUUUGAAGGGGAAAAUGGCCCACUUCCCACUGGCGAAAACUCAGGAAAUUUGGCAGGACGACCGGGCCUGGUGAAAAAUUCGAUAUUCUGAAGUCGCCCAAACAAUAAAAUGCAAAAUGGCUCCAUAGCGCCCCCUAAGGCGAAAAUUCACACUAUUGACUGUCACGCCUGUACGCUUUGUCAUUUUGACACAAAAAUUGACACACACGUGUAUCUCAAUACGGUCUACGAAAAAGUCAGUGCGGGCGCAUCUGUGAAAUGUACGGUUAGAGGGUUAUUUCGCAUUUUUUCCCGAUCCGCACACAUUGGAAUUUCGCUAACUCCUCCGAAGGCUUUAGUUCCACCGCCACCAAAUUUGCUCAGGCCAAUCUACACCCCAUGGCCAUUAAAAGUUGUACAAAUCAUGACGCUGCACUCCACGGUUUACGUUCUAGGGGGCGCCAAAGAUAACCCAAAAAUCCACAUUCUUAAUAGUCUUAUAACUUUUUAUUUUUGUCCUCACUGGCCUCCAAGUUUUCUAGGAUGAUGCAAUGUCCAGCCAUCAACACAUUUGUAAAGGAAUUUUUACUCCCGAAAAGGGCGCCCCCCCAUGGCAGGAGAAAAAAGUCAAUUUUUUCUUGUCCCCUAAGGUGAAAAAACACAUUGUUGACUGUCACGCCUAUACGCUUUGUCAAAAUGACACAAAAUUUGACACACACGUGUAUCUCAAUAAGAUCUACGAAAAAGUCAAUGGGCACGUAUCUGUAAAAUGUACGGUUAAAGGGCUAUUUCGCAUUUUUUGCCGAUUCGCACACAUUGGAAUGUGGCUAACUCCUCCUAAGGCUUUCUUCCCACCGACACCAAAUUUGCUCAAGCCGAUCUACAUCCCAUGGCCAUUCAAAGUUGUAAAAAUCAUGCCGCUGCACCCCAUGGUUUACGUUCUUGGGGGCGCCAAAGAUGACCCAAAUAUCCACAUUCUUAAAAGAAUCCACAUCCCCCCCCCCCCCCCCCCAAGGCAGGAGAAAAAGUCCAGUUAACCCUGCCCAUCGCUCAAUGGCUCAAUCGCAUCGCUCUCCCGGCAACACCGUAAGGAGGAGCAACUUGCCAUUUGGAUAUAUCCUAGCUGUGUUUGUGCCCUCACUCAUGGUCCAGACUUUUUUCAAAUAGGACAUGUAGUUUGUCUGCAGCGGCCGUUUUGGUAGAAACUGCGCCUCCCAUUCAUUAUAAUGGGAAAUGACCACAGACAAGUGCGCACACCAUCUUUGGACCUUGAGUGUGAUGCAAUCGGGAGGGGGAGGCGGUCGCGCUGGGGGCGGCGCGACGCGGCUCGGGCCCGACAGUGCCCCACCGGGGCCCUAGUUAUUAUUUUUCUGCCCCUUUGAACUGGAAAAUGGCCCACUUCCCACUGGUGAAAACUCAUGAAAUUUGGCAGGACGACCUGGCCUGGUGAAAAAUUCGAUAUUCUGAAGUCACCCAAACAAUCACAUGCAAAAUGGCUCCAUAGCGCCCCCUAAGGUGAAAAAUUCACAUGAUUGAGUGUCACGCCUGUACGCUUUGUCAAAAUGACACAAAAUUUGACACACACGUGUAUCUCAAUAAGAUCUACAAAAAAGUCAGUGCGGGCGUAUCUGUCAAAUGUACGUUUAAAGGGCUAUUUCGCAUUUUUUGCCGAUCCGCACACAUUGGAAUUUCGCUAACUCCUCCGAAGGCUUUCGUUCCACCGGCACCAAAUUUGCUCAGGCC